rnacentral:rRNA from 1 species
CUCCAGACUCCUACGGGAGGCAGCAGUGGGGAAUAUUGCACAAUGGGGGAAACCCUGAUGCAGCGACGCCGCGUGAGCGAUGAAGUAUUUCGGUAUGUAAAGCUCUCUCAGCAGGGAAGAAGAUGACGGUACCUGACUAAGAAGCCCUGGCUAACUACGUGCCAGCAGCCGCGGUAAUACGUAGGGGGCAAGCGUUAUCCGGAUUUACUGGGUGUAAAGGGAGCGUAGACGGCGAUGCAAGCCAGAUGUGAAAGCCCGGGGCUCAACCCCGGGACUGCAUUUGGAACUGUGUGGCUGGAGUGUCGGAGAGGCAGGCGGAAUUCCUAGUGUAGCGGUGAAAUGCGUAGAUAUUAGGAGGAACACCAGUGGCGAAGGCGGCCUGCUGGACGAUGACUGACGUUGAGGCUCGAAAGCGUGGGGAGCAAACAGGAUUAGAUACCCUAGUA